CCACCCAAACAAAAACCAGACUCUUGAUUCUUGCUCUCUCUCUCUCUCUCUCUCUCUUUUACGGACGACUCACCAUCACUUUACCCCCCCAUCACUAACCGUUGAUCUUCCACCGUCAAUCUUCCACCAUUGCACACUAUCACCACCACUGCCGUUGCUUGCCUCGCAGCUCCUCGCCUUGCCUCGCAUUACAUCGUUUCAAGAUUGAGGUCAAGCAAGAGUCACACCAUGUUUGGGUGUGCAAAGCAACAGGGGAUUGUGUAUAGAUCUCUGAAGGAUAUAUUGGGUGAAGGAGAUGAAGAAAAUGUAGGAGUUGGAACAUAUGUUCAAGCCACUGUCUUGGAGAUAUACAAGGAGUGGAGGACUAAGUAUUAGGUGGUUUAAGGGAAGUGCUUCCAAGGUAAAAACUACUAUUUUUCUUGAAAUUAUAAUGAUUUUUUUGUUAGGUUUUAGAUGCUCGUAUAUAUAUUUAAGGAUAGUACUAUUGAUAGACAUGAUGAAUUUGAAAAUCUAAGUUGGGGGUGUUUGUGAGAGUGCCCGGUUUUAUGGACAUACUUUGCUUGAAUUUGGAUUGUGUUUGUUUGAAGUUGAUAAGAUAUAUGUUCCCAAUGUUCCCAAAGCAGCAGAGUCUAAGCCUAGGGCAACUGAGUCUGAGCCUAGGGCAUCAGAGCAACUUCAACAAAAACAGCUUCAACAAAAGCAAUCUCAGCAGCCUAUACAGCAAUAGCCUGUGCAGCAGCAACAACAACAAUCUAUACAGUAGCAACAGCAGUAGCCUAUGCAACAACAAUAGCAGCAGCCUACUCUGAUGCAGUUGCAAUAUGUUCAAACAGAGCAAGUCAAGGCAUCCAAAGCUGCUCAUCUCAUGUAUACGACUGUCAUGUAUAAUAAGUCACAGAAUUGUAAAGAUAGAAAACACCAAGAUGGCUAGAUAGUUUGUUAGAGAGUUGGUUAUAACCAACUCAGUUAUACAAAGUGUAUAUAUAUAGUAGUAUGUACUCUGCUUAGCUUUUCAAUGAAGUUUAUCUCUUUCUUCA